CAAUAGCGUAUAUUAAAGUUGUUGCGGUUAAAAAGCUCGUAGUUGGAUUUCUGUUGAGGAAGUCCGGUCCGCACUUUGUGCGUGAUCUGGUUCUGCCUCGGCAUCCUCGCGGGGAACGUGCUGCGCUUGAUUGCGUGGUGCGGUAUUCGCGACUUUUACUUUGAGGAAAUUAGAGUGUUCACGGCAGGCAAUCGCCUUGAAUACGUUAGCAUGGAAUAAUAAUAUAAGACCUCGGUUUUAUUUUGUUGGUUUCUAGAAGCGGGGUAAUGAUUAAUAGGGACAAUUGGGGGUAUUCGAAUUAACGCGUCAGAGGUGGAAUUCUUGGAUUAACGGAAGAUGAACUUCUGCGAAAGCAUCUGCCAAGGAUGUUUUCAUUGAUCAAGAACGAAAGUUAGGGGAUCGAAGACGAUCAGAUACCAU
rnacentral:rRNA from 1 species